CAAUCAUUAGGAGCAUUAAGCCACAUGCUGAGGAUGGCAGAGGACAAAGAUGAAAAAAAAAUGGACUGAUGCAAAGAUCUGAAAACAAAGGUGGGAGUCUUCACAGUGAUUCAUGGUUUCAUUCAACAUUCACUCCCCCGGAUAAACUUCAUGAGGAUUUUAUUUAUUUAUUAGAGACACAGAGAAUGACAGAGAGAGAGAGAGACAAAGACACAGGCAG